AUUGAACGCUGGCGGCAGGCCUAACACAUGCAAGUCGAACGAGUGGCGGACGGGUGAGUAAUGUCUGGGAAACUGCCCGAUGGAGGGGGGUAACUACUGGAAACGGUAGCUAAUACCGCAUACCAUCGGAUGUGCCCAGAUGGGAUUAGCUAGUAGGUGGGGUAACGGCUCACCUAGGCGACGAUCCCUAGCUGGUCGGAGAGGAUGACCGGCAACACUGGAACUGAGACACGGUCCAGACUCCUAGGGGGGGAAGCGUGGGGAAAUAUUGCCAAAUGGGCGCAAGCCUGAUGCAGCCAGGCCGGGUGUAUGAAGAGGGCCUUGGGGUUGUAAAGUACUUUCAGCGAGGAGGCGUUACUCGCAGAAGAAGCACCGGCUAACUCCGUGCCAGCCGCCGCGGUAAUU
rnacentral:rRNA from 1 species